rnacentral:lncRNA from 1 species
AAACUACAGUACUACAAUGAUUUACCCAUUACAUAUUUUUAGUGAUUAUUUCACUUAAACAUUAAUGUACAAACUAUAUUUGUUAAAUGAUAGUUACACUUGGGAAAUUACACACUUUUACAACAAACGAGCAUACAAAACAGUUAAGCCUUGGUAGAAGGCUACUUUAAUAGAAAAUAUAGGUUUUUCUGAGAGAUUCAAACUUUUACAAACACUUACAUACAUUUUACAAACUUAUACUUGAGACACGUUCAAACGUUUUGAUAACAAACAUCGACACUAAAAUACUUAUGAACUCACCAGCUUAAUGCUGAUAAACUCUUUCAAAAUAACUUGUAUUCUCAGGUCAUCAGUAGACAGGUACCGAUGCCAGCUUUUGAGAAGAUGGAGCGCAUUCAAGACUCAUCAUAUUAUUUUGAUUUACAUUAUAUUUUUGGUGUCUAAAACUGUACAGAACACGCUUGUAUUAAAAUUAUAUAUUUAAUGCAAUGGAUGAUGUUGUUUGCUUAUUUACAUUUACUGUGUUGUGAUACUUUACAUGACGUCCUCCGCCCCAGAACGUUUCCGCCGUUCUUGGUUUUGGGGUGUGACAGAUUGGUAUCAGAGCAUUGUUUAUAGUGAAUCAAGUAUAUCAACCCAUAAAAGAUAUACUAACUAUAAACCCAUUUGGGAUUAAAACACUCUGACCAAGAGUCUAUACUUUAAAUAUUAAAAUAUUUAAUUAAGUAUACUAGUCUGCAUUCAUACUAAAAUCAGUGUCACAAUGACAAGAACAAAAGUAUUACGAUUGUUAGAUAUCACAGGUAAGCUCGGGGAUGUAUGGUCAGUCUUGGGAAUGGCAUAGCCUGAUCAACUAUGUUGGUCCGAGGAGUGAUUAGCAUAUGCCCUAGAAUGGUUGUGAUGUGUUAACAAGUCUAAAACCUUACCAACAAUACCACAAGAAGAUCAGUAGAGCCUAAACUUAAAAUACUAUAGGUGUAUUUUGUACUACUAGCUACAUAUAUACGAUAUUCUUAUAUCCCUUUUCUCGCGUAGAUAUCAUAGCUGGAUUCCAUCACGGCGACCCGUACUUCCCAAAUGAAGGCAAUGUAGGGUGGAUCGAAGAAGCGGAGCCCGAAGAUGAGCAUCCAAUCCCUCUGGAUGACCACCUCGUAGAAGGCUUUUCUGAUGGAUCCGACUCCGAGCCGGAAGUCAACAAUCUACCCCCCAUAGGUCAAGCCCCGAACCACGACCCCCGACCAGCAUUUCCAGGUCCCACCCCUAUGUGGGUAAACAACUUAAAUCGUUGGAGCGACGAGCAGGGUCAACCCUUACCUUACUUUGGGGACCGAACCUUUUACAACGUUAGCGAAGGUGGUUCUACGGAUAGAGCUUUGCCUGUCAUGGUGCGUAGAAUUGCUCGAAAUGUCGAACAAGGUCGAGCAGCCAUCGACCGAGUCAUGGAAGUUGAUGCCAACUCAGGCGUUAAUACUGUCCGCAUUCGACAUCUAGAAGAAGCACUCGAAGGGACGAGGAGAACCAAUGACGCACUGAGAGAGCAAUUAACCACCGAAAUCGCAGAACUGCGAGUUCGCCAAAGAGCUCACGAACGACACCUUCAAGAAGUGGUUCGCCAACUGGCAAAUAUGAGGAUUCACCCUAGGAAUUCUCGUCGUCGUUAGAAGAUGUCUAGUACAUCUUUGCCUUUUAUUAAGGAAUAGCCUUUAGUAUCCGGUCUUCUAGUAACGCUUGUCUGUAAAAUAGUUCUAACUUUCAGUACGCUAUCUAGGAAUCUAGUAACUGUCAAACUUUUCCGUAUGGUAUGAUGUAAGACCUACUGCUAGGUUAAUUUUCCCCUAAACCUAUUACAUCAAUAAUACCAGUAAUAUUGACAGCUAGCUAAUCUGUGAGAAAAUCUUUAUACUUGCAUUUUCCUACUAUUCUUCCCUAUUGUGAAUUCAAUUCGUACAUACAUUCAACUAUUGGGCUAUGGUUAGUUAGUCCAUGGUCACUCUCAACUUGCUUACAAUUGAUUCUUACCAUUGUAUCUGUCAUUAUAAACUUAUAGCUGAAAGAUGCUUCCUCGUAAAUCAACAAGACGUAACCCUGCACCUCCUCCACCUCCUCCUCCUGUCAUCGAUACUGCAGCCCUAAAUGCUGCAGUAGCUACGGCAGUGGCAACUACCAUGGCUUAAUAUCACUCAACUAACGACAGCCAAGGUGGAACCCCUGUUGAAUCCACUCAUGUUGAAAUCCAUGUACGCACGAAAGAAUGCUCCUACAAAGAUUUCACAAACUGUAAGCCCAAGUCCUUUUAUGGAACCGGCGGAGUCAUUGCCCUCUCGCAAUGGUUCGAGAAGACUGAAUCGGUCUUCGAAAUCUGUUCAUGCCCUGAUGCGAGCAAGGUUAAAUAUGUCGCAUGCACCUUUGAAGGAAAAGCCCUGACGUGGUGGAACGGCCACGUUAAAGCUCUAACUCUCGUCGGAGCCAACGACAUGGGCUGGGAAACAAUGAAAGACCUCAUGAUUGAGGAGUAUUGCCCGAGGGGCGAAAUCCAGAAAUUGGAACAGGAACUCUGGAGCCUGACCAGGAAGGGCACCGACGUGGUCGCUUACACCGCCAGAUUUAGCGAACUGGUGGCUCUCUGCCCCAAUAUGAUUCCCACUGAAGGGAAAAAGAUCGAAAGGUACAUCUGGGGGCUAGUGCCUCCGUACCAAGGAAAUGUUCUAUCAUCAAACCCCACUACUUUCGAUAGUGCCAAGCGACUGGCACAACGACUCGAUGACCAUGGAAUUCAAUCCCCAACAGCGACAACAACCCUAGCUAUCCCGGAACCCUCCAAACCCGCUGACUCUAAGCGGAAGUCCUGGGAUGACAAGAAGGAACAACGAGCUGCCAAAAAGCAGCAAAUUGUGGUUGUGCAUGCUGCAAUAACCCCUACUGCUACUACUGCUCCGAUGAAGCAGUAUGCAGGAAGUCUGCCUAAGUGCAACAAAUGCAACUUCCACCACAACGGCCCCUGCCGUGAAAUGCAGUGUUCUAACUGCGACAAGAAAGGACACACUGUCCGUUUCUGUAGGUCUCCGGCAAGACCGAUCACUCAAGUCCCUGGCUCAGGCGCGAGCCCAACCUGCUAUGGAUGUGGUGAAGCAGGCCACUACAAGAGGGACUGCCCCAAAGCAAAGAAUGCAGGUGGAUCGGGGAGAGUACUGGCAAUAAGCCAUGGGGAAGCAGUUGCUGACCCGACGGUGGUGACUGGUACGUUCCUCCUCGAUAACUCCUAUGCAUGCAUUCUGUUUGAUAGUGGAGCGGAGCGAAGCUUUGUAAAUCAUAAAUUUGCUCACAUACUUAAACAUCAACCUCACGCACUUAAAGAACAAUUCACGGUAGAAAUGGCUAAUGGGAAAACUGAAAGCACCAAGAGCAUAUACUUAGAUUGUACUUUAACUCUAGAUAACCAUUCAUUUCCAAUCGACCUCAUGCCGGUUUCCAUUAAAAGUUUCGACGUUCUCAUCGGCAUGGAUUGGUUGAGUCUUCAUCACGCCGACAUCAUGUGCUUCGAGAAAGCAAUCCGUCUAAAUCACCCGUCUAACGAAACCCUUAUCGUCUACGGUGACAAACCCAGUACAAGUCUUCAUAUUAUUUCAAGUAUUCAAGCACAAAAGUACCAACGUAAGGAAUAUCACGCGUUCCUUGCUCACGUCGUUGACACGAGCCUCGAAACGAAAGAACUAAAGAACAUCCCAGUAGUGAGCGACUUCUCCGAUAUUUUCCCAGAAGAGCUACCAGGGUUACCUCCGCAUCGACAGGUCGAGUUCAGAAUCGACCUAAUUCUAGGAGCUACCCCUGUAGCUAAGUCGCCAUACCGAUUAGCACCAGCUGAGAUGCAGGAACUAUCCGGUCAACUUAACGAACUGCUCAGCAAGGGUUUCAUAAGACCAAGCUUCUCACCUUGGGGAGCACCGGUCUUAUUUGUUAAGAAGAAAGACGGAUCAUUCCGUAUGUGUAUCGACUACAGGGAACUCAACAAACUGAUGGUCAAAAAUCGUUAUCAUCUGCCUCGCAUAGACGAUCUAUUUGACCAACUGCAAGGGGCGAACUACUUUUCCAAGAUUGAUCUGAGAUCCGGAUAUCACCAGUUACGAGUACUAGAGGAGGAUGUGCCGAAGACAGCCUUCCGAACUCGUUACGAACAUUACGAGUUCGUGGUGAUGCCAUUCGGAUUGACCAAUGCGCCCGCAGUUUUCAUGGAUCUGAUGAAUCGAGUAUGCCGACCUUACUUGGAUCAGUUCGUCAUCGUUUUCAUUGACGACAUCCUGAUCUACUCCCGAAGUAAGAAAGAGCAUGGCGAUCAUCUGCGACAAGUUCUAGGGAUAUUACGAAAAGAGAAACUUUAUGCGAAGUUCUCGAAAUGUGAAUUUUGGAUCCGAAGAGUCGAAUUCUUAGGACACGUGGUAAGCGAAGAGGGAAUCCACGUGGACCCAUCCAAAAUUAAGGCCAUUGAGAACUGGUCAGCACCGAAGACUCCUACAGAAAUUCGUCAAUUUCUAGGUCUCGCUGGCUACUACCGCAGGUUCAUUCAGAACUUCUCACGAAUAGCGAAGCCUCUUACAACCCUAACCCAGAAAGGUGUGGCCUUUGACUGGGAAGAGAAACAAGAAAGAGCGUUCCAAACGCUCAAACGAGCCUUGUGCACCGCACCAAUACUAUCCCUUCCCGAAGGAAUAGAAGACUUCGUAGUUUAUUGCGAUGCAUCAAACCAAGGACUCGGAUGUGUUCUGAUGCAGCGAGGUAAGGUCAUCGCCUACGCCUCGAGACAGUUGAAGACACAUGAGGUUAACUACACGACCCACGAUCUUGAACUAGGAGCAGUAGUGUUUGCUCUGAAGAUCUGGAGACAUUACUUGUAUGGAACGAAGAGCACUAUCUUUACCGACCACAAGAGUUUACAACACAUUUUCGAUCAGAAGGAGCUCAACAUGAGACAACGACGAUGGGUCGAGCUACUCAGUGAUUACGAAUGCGAUAUUCGUUAUCAUCCGGGUAAAGCCAACGUAGUAGCAGACGCCCUAAGUCGGAAGGAAUAUUCUGGUCGCAAAGUCAAGUCAUUAUCGAUAACCAUCCAUUCACACCUGACUAAGCAAAUUCAGGCGGCUCAACUUGAGGCCAUGAAAUCUGAAAAUGUGUCAAGUGAAUCCCUUAGAGGAAUGGACAAGAAUUUAGAAGCCAAGGGUGACGGAGCUUUAUAUUUCAUGAACCGGAUCUGGACACCGAAACAUGGUGGCUUCCGAGACUUGGUCAUGACCGAGGCGCACAACACUCGGUAUUCCGUCCACCCAGGUUCAGAUAAGAUGUAUCUGGAUCUUAAAAAGCUAUACUGGUGGCCUAAUAUGAAAGCAGAGAUUGCUACCUUCGUAAGUAAAUGCCUUACUUGCGCAAAGGUCAAGGUCGAGUACCAGAAACCCUCUGGUUUACUGCAACAACCAGAGAUCCCAGAAUGGAAGUGGGAGCGGAUCACUAUGGAUUUCAUAACCAAGUUGCCCAAGACAACGAGUGGGCUUGAUACCAUAUGGGUCAUCGUCGAUAGAUUGACCAAGUCACACUUCCUGCCUAUCAAAGAAACUGACAAGAUGGAGAAACUUACAAGAACAUACAUUAGGGAAAUCGUACGACUACCGGGUGUUCCUAUAUCUAUUAUCUCUGAUAGAGAUAGUAGGUUCACCUCAAGAUUCUGGCAAUCACUACAACAUUCCAUGGGAACAAGGCUAGACAUGAGCACAACCUACCACCCACAGACCGACGGACAAAGUGAGAGGACCAUCCAAAAACUGGAAGAUAUGUUAAGAGCCUGUGUGAUCGACUUUGGUAACGCAUGGGAUACUCAUUUACCCCUUAUCGAGUUUUCCUACAACAACAGUUAUCACACGAGCAUCAAGGCUGCUCCAUUUGAAGCCCUCUACGGCCGAAAGUGCAGAUCCCCUCUGUGCUGGGCUGAGGUGGGUGAUACCCAAUUAGCUAAGGGUCAAACUUCUGACAGUACUCUCACAGGCCCGGAAAUCAUUCGGGAAACGACGGAGAAGAUCGUUCAGAUCCGCAAACGAUUGAAAGCCUCCAGAGACCGACAGAAAAGCUACGCCGAUAAACGUAGAAAACCAUUGGAAUUCCAGGUGGGCGACCGUGUUUUAUUGAAGGUCUCACCCUGGAAGGGCUUGAUACGCUUCAGAAAGCGUGGAAAGCUAAAUCCAAGGUACAUUGGGCCCUUCGAGAUUCUCACAAGAAUCGGUCCAGUGGCUUACAAACUCAAUCUACCGAUCGAACUUCAUAACGUNNNNNNNNNNNNNNNNNNNNNNNNNNNNNNNNNNNNNNNNNNNNNNNNNNNNNNNNNNNNNNNNNNNNNNNNNNNNNNNNNNNNNNNNNNNNNNNNNNNNGAUGUCGGGUAGUAGUCCGAGGGUCGUUUCAAUAUAAAUUAUAUCAUAUGUGCAAAUAUAGACAUAAAAGUACUUUCACUAUUCAUGCGUAUCAGUUACAUCAUUAGUAAGUUACCAUCGAGGUAACACCGAAUUACAUUUAUACUAUUGCUAGAUCUAUGAGUCAGUUCAUUCAUGAGUCAUAUACAUUACAUUACUAUGAGAAUAUAUACAUUACAUUACUAUGAGAACAUAUACAACUAUACUAGAGAAGAACAUAUACAACUAUACUAGGAAGAGAACACAUACAACGAUACUAGAACAAGUAACAAUACAAUACAUAUACAUGAAUACGUUUACAAUUGUGAUCCACUGUAUCGGAGCAUGCCUUAAAUGUCAUGGCCCGAGUUGUUACCAGAAUUCUCUUGGAGGGAGAGCGUGAGUUUGCAUAUAGAUCUAUACUAGAUUGACUAUCCUACACUUUGCUGCUAGCUACAGCCGGACCUGCAAGUCUGCGGGUGCCAAACAUCAUACCGUGUUACGACCAUUCAUUAUGUCGCUGUUACCAAUCGAUAGUAUGGUACAAUUAAAUCACAUAAUACCUUAAUAUAAAUCCGGUUUAAGGUAGAUAGUACAGCAGUAGUUCCUAUAAUACAACACUACAGUACUAAAAUGAUUUACCCAUUACAUAUAUUUAGUGAUUAUUUCACUUAAACAUUAAUGUUCAAACUAUAUUUUGUUAAAUGAUAGUUACACUUGGGAAAUUACUCACUUUUACAACAAACGAGCAUACAAAACAGUUACGCCUAGGUAGAAGGCUACUUUUAAUAGAAAAUAUAGGCUUUUCUGAGAGAUUCAAACAUUUACAUACGUUUUACAAACUUACACUUGAGACAUGUUCAAACGUUUUGAUAACAAACACCGACACUAAAAUACUUAUGAACUCACCAGCUUAAUGCUGAUAAACUCUUUCAAAAUAACUUGUAUUCUCAGGUCAUCAGUAGACAGGUACCGAGACCAGCUUUUGAGAAGAUGGAGCGCAUUCAGGACUCAUCUCUUUAUUUUGACUUACAUUAUUUUUGGUGUCUAUACUGUACAGAACACACUUGUAUUAAAACUAUAUAUUUAAUGCAAUGGAUGAUGUUGUUUGCUUAUUUACUUUUACUGUGUCGUGAUACUUUACAUGACGUCCUCCGCCUCAGAACGUUUCCGCCGUUCUUGGUUUUGGGGUCUGACAAGAACUAAAGAAUGAAAUAAUGCUCAUCAAAUCUUUGCUUAAAUUGUAUAGACUUCUAUUGUGGAACUCAAGAAUUUAACAAUGCUCAUCAAAGCUUUGCUAAAUUGCAAAGACUACUUCUAUUGUGGAACUCAAGAAUUAAAGAAUGCUCAUCAGUGCUUUGCUAAAUUGCAUAGACUUCUAAGGUGGGACCCAAAAAUGAAACAAUCCUAAUCAAAGCUUUGCUAAAUUGCAUAGACUUAUAUUGUGGAACUCAAGAAUCAAACAAUGCUCAUCAAAGUUUUGCAUAAAUUCCAUAGACUUCUAUUUUCGAAAUCAUGAAUUCAAGGAUGCUCAUAUAAGCUUUGCUAAAUUGCAUAGAUUUCUAUUGUGGAACUCAAGU